AAUCAACGCUGGCGGCGUGCCUAACACAUGCAAGUCGAACGAGAAAGUGGAGCAAUCCAUGAGUAAAGUGGCGCACGGGUGAGUAACACGUGACUAACCUACCUUUUAGUGGGGGAUAACCUAGGGAAACCUGGGCUAAUACCGCAUAAUACCUACGGGUCAAAGCAGCAAUGCGCUGAAAGAGGGGGUCGCGGUCGAUUAGUUAGUUGGCAGGGUAAUGGCCUACCAAGACUGUGAUCGAUAUCCGGCCUGAGAGGGCGCACGGACACACUGGAACUGAAACACGGUCCAGACUCCUACGGGAGGCAG
rnacentral:rRNA from 1 species